rnacentral:misc_RNA from 1 species
GCGACCCCAGGUCAGGCGGGGCUACCCGCUGAGUUUAAGCAUAUCAAUAAGCGGAGGAGGG